rnacentral:rRNA from 1 species
CCCUUAGAUGUUCUGGGCUGCACGCGCGCUACACUGAAGCUAUCAACACGUUUUCCCUCCCUGAGAAGGGCGGGUAACCUUUUGAAUCAGCUUCGUGGUAGGGAUCGGGGCUUGCAAUUGUUCCCCGUGAACCAGGAAUUCCUAGUAGACGCGAGUCAUAAGCUCGCAUCGAUUAAGUCCCUGCCCUUUGUACACACCGCCCGUCGCUACUACCGAUUGAACGUUUUAGUGAGGCAUUUGGACCGACGCAUCUCAGUUUAACCGCUGGUUUGUGUUGGAAAGACUUCCAAACUUGAGCGUUUAGAGGAAGUAAAAGUCGUAACG